rnacentral:rRNA from 1 species
CCUACGGGGGGCUGCAGUGGGGAAUAUUACACAAUGGGCGCAAGCCUGAUGCAGCCAUGCCGCGUGUGUGAAGAAGGCCUUCGGGUUGUAAAGCACUUUCAGCGGGGAGGAAGGCGGUGAGGUUAAUAACCUCAUCGAUUGACGUUACCCGCAGAAGAAGCACCGGCUAACUCCGUGCCAGCAGCCGCGGUAAUACGGAGGGUGCAAGCGUUAAUCGGAAUUACUGGGCGUAAAGCGCACGCAGGCGGUCUGUCAAGUCGGGUGUGAAAUCCCCGGGCUCAACCUGGGAACUGCAUUCGAAACUGGCAGGCUAGAGUCUUGUAGAGGGGGGUAGAAUUCCAGGUGUAGCGGUGAAAUGCGUAGAGAUCUGGAGGAAUACCGGUGGCGAAGGCGGCCCCCUGGACAAAGACUGACGCUCAGGUGCGAAAGCGUGGGGAGCAAACAGGAUUAGAUACCCGAGUAGUC